rnacentral:rRNA from 1 species
GGAUAAGCUACUAAGAGCAUACGGUGGAUGCCUGGGUGCCAAAUGCCGAUGAAGGACGUGGUACACUGCGAAAAGCUCCGGUAAGGUGUGUGCGACCGUAGAACCGGAGAUGUCCGAAUGGGGAAACCCGGA